AAAAAUGUAGGCUUAUUUGGGUGUAUCGAACAUGCCAUGUGAUUAUGUGAAUGAGAUUAAAUCUGGCAAGCAAUGUCAUUAACUCAAUAAAAGCAAACAGAAACGUUUUGAAAGUAUGAAAUGAAAAUCAUCUAAUAAUAAUAUAAUGCACUAAAAAUCUAACAUUCUUAUAUAGGACAAUCGUUCUCUUCUCUCUCCUCUAAAAAGUAGAUCUAGGGUUUUGGCAGCCGCUUUAGGGUCGAUGGGCUGAGAAUGAAGCGGUGGUGGGUGCCUCUCUUCUCCGGUGGUGUGAGGCAUGGUUGUGUCCGUUGCUUGAUGCAAGCCGGUGUCUAUCCUCACGGCAGCCAUGAGAUGAUAUUCCUGCGUUCUGCUGGUUGAAGGCUACGGCGGAUCUGGAACGGAUUUCUCGGCUCGGCGGCUUGUGAGAUGUAGAUCUGGUUUGCGGCGGAAGUCGAGUUUCGGAUCGGUGGGUGCACCACUUUGCGAAGAGAUUAACGGUGGAUCCUUAACCGGAUCCUAGAUGGCUAGCGCGGGGGAUCCUUAACGGGAUAUCGGUGGCUGAUGGCAUGCCUGAGCCAACAUCUAUCUUCCGCCGCCGUGUUUGGCUUUCUCUUCGCAGGAUCUGAAGGGAGGUUGCUUUGGGAGUAGUAUGAGGGUGUGCUUUGCUGGAUCUGAGGGUUCGUUGCGAGGUUUCUUCUUGCUAGGUCGGGGAGAAGAAACUAUUGGGUCUCCGGUUGUGGCGGAUCUACCUUUACCGAAAGGAAAGUUCUGGGUUUGGUUUGUUCUGGGUGAUGGUCUGCGGAGGGGUUCGCUAGCUCCAAUCAAAGGCUUGAUGCCGAGUUCGUAACCGCAAAGGAGCCGUCCAUGCUACCGUCGGUUUUAGAAGGUGAGGUUUGUGUUUUCCGGUGUACUGCCCGUUUUCAGAUGUCGUAUUCGGCAGCACCGAUUUGUAUUUUUUCCAUUACUAUCUGUAAAUUUUUGGCCCAUCAGCCAACAAGCCCAUUAGGGUUUAAUAAUAAUAAUUAAAAAAAAAAUAUAUAUAUAUAUAUAUAAUGCACUAAAAUAAUUAUUUUAAAUAAAAUUAUUAGUAAUAGUGAAAACAAAAAAAAACAUAUUUGAUCAAGCCGCACUUAGUGCAUCAUUACUAAUGGGGUUUCUAUUAAAAAUACUCUUGGAUUUGGGCACUAAAAUAUUAAUAAAAACCCAUAUAUCAGUCCAACUGAGAAUCAAUCAUUUCUGUCGGAAACAUUCCAAGCAAUUCCAAAAGUAAAGAUACGUGGGGUUUCCUGAAUGGUGGGUUCAUAAAUAUAAAACAGUUUUUUUUUCUCAUUUUUUUUUCUUUUCUUCCCGACUGUCUCUCUCUUCUCUCUCGUUUUGCGAGUGAACAUGCGAUUCUUGUGAAAUCGUAGAAAUCUCGUGACAAACGACGACGGCGGACAAACGAUGGCGGUGUAACCGUGAGAUACGAAGGUUCAUCUUCUCAAUUCCGAUUUAUUGAUGGGGUUAUUCUGAUGUUAUGGUUUCGGAUCGUUUUCGAAUGAUGGGAUUAUUCUGAUGUUAAAUUGAUUAUGAGCUUAGUUUGAUGUUCAAUUGAUUAUGAGAUUAGUUUGAUGGCGUGUUGAUUUGGAGAUUUGUUUGGAGGGGUUAUUUGAUCAAGUGUUUGAGUUUGAGUUUGAGUUUGAAAGUGUUUGAGUGUUAUGUUUGUUUGUGUUUUGUAUAAAUACGCAUUUAACGUUGUUCAGAUGAGUCAGCACAAAUACGCAUGCGUUUCGAUUUGGAUCUUUUUUCGUAACACUGUUCUUGGGGGUAUAGCAACAAAUCUGUAGUUGUCUUGUUUGGUAUGGGAAAUGUCAAUGGUUUAUUUGGUUGCAUUGAAAUGCCAUAUUGAAUAUACAUAUGUGGUUAAUGUCCCUUAUCAUGUUUCGUUUUAACACUCUUCUUUGUGUUUUGAUGCUCUUCCAUUUGGUGUUGUGAUUUAGUGGUGCAGGUCAUGGAAUCCUGGAGAUACUUGGCAUCGGAAGGUUGGACCGAGAGUAAGCGGUAAAGGCCACUUCAAGGAUAGAUACUUGUUUCCUCCUAAGCAUCUUCCCGGUUUAGAUACUGAAACAAUGCCAAGAAACAAGGUUUUUAGGAGCAGGCGCUCACUCGAACGAUACAUUCGUCACACCUUCCCUGGAGCUGAUGUUUCAAAGUUCUUUGCUUCUUUCUGCUGGAAAAUACCCUGAAGAGAUGGCAUUAUGCCUCAGAAGCAGGUUUCAUUUCCAGUCUAUAGCUCAGAUGAAGAUCCAAUGCUUGAGAUUGGAUGUGAUACUGCGGUUUGUAAGGCUGGUAAUGAAAACACAGAGUGAAGCCGAAACUUUACCCAAUAUGCCUUGUGAUAUUUGCUGCGCUGAACCUAAAUUCUGCUCUGAUUGUUGUUGCAUCCUUUGCUGCAAGUUUAUGUGUUAGGGGGCUGAUUCGCUUGGGAGUUUUCUUUUUCUGCCUUUAUUUUGUCAAACAGGUGCUGGUGGGAGGUUUUUGUCACUGCCUCUUAGUAUGUUACAGUCUUGUUGAUCACGAGAGAACCCAAUGCAGAACAAGCCAACCACUUACAACAAUGCACUUCUCGUUGGACUUUGUCUAGUCUUGUCACUACCUCUUCAGCUUUACAAUCGUUGAAGUGAAGCUAUUUUUUAUUGAAAUCACAUUGCUUUUGUUUUACGACAUGUCCACUUUGAAACAUUUCAUCUCUUUUUUUUUUUUUUUUAUGUUGUGUUCUUG